AGGGCGUUAGCUCAGCUAGGUAGAGCAGCGGACUCCAAAUCCGCAGGCCGUGGGUUCGAUCCCCUCACGCCCUGCCA
rnacentral:tRNA from 1 species